rnacentral:rRNA from 1 species
AGAGUUUGAUCCUGGCUCAGGAUGAACGAUGGCGGCAUGCUUAACACAUGCAAGUCGUAGGAAGAUAAAAUUAUGCUAGCAUGAUUUUAUAUUUAGUGGCGGACGGGUGAGUAACACGUAAGAACCUAUCUUUUGGCGAGGGACAACCUCUGGAAAACGGUGGAUAAUACCUCAUAUUGCUGAGAAGUGAGAGAUGAAUAAUCUCCAGAAGAUGGUCUUGUGUUUGAUUAGAUAGUUGGUGAGGUAUUAGUUUCCCAGGCGAGAUCUGUACUGUGUGAGAGGAUCUCAGCCACUUGGGAGUAGACACGGCCCAGCUCUACGCGGGCCGCAGUGAAGUGUUUCCCCGAUGGGCGUGUGCCUGACGGACCGUUGGCGCGCAGAGGUUUGCCCUGUGUGUUAUGACUUUCUUAUGCGAUAGGGUUUUGACGGUAUUGAGGUGAUGGCGUCGGCUAACUCUGUGCUGGCCGCCGCGGU